AACGAACGCUGGCGGCAUGCCUAACACAUGCAAGUCGAACGAGACCUUCGGGUCUAGUGGCGCACGGGUGCGUAACGCGUGGGAACCUGCCCUUAGGUUCGGAAUAACUCCCCGAAAGGGGUGCUAAUACCGGAUAAUGUCUUCGGACCAAAGAUUUAUCGCCUUUGGAUGGGCCCGCGUUGGAUUAGCUAGUUGGUAGGGUAAAAGCCUACCAAGGCGACGAUCCAUAGCUGGUCUGAGAGGAUGAUCAGCCACACUGGGACUGAGACACGGCCCAGACUCCAAGGGGAGGCAGAAGGGGGAAUAUUGGACAAUGGGCGAAAGCCUGAUCCAGCAAUGCCGCGUGAGUGAUGAAGGCCUUAGGGUUGUAAAGCUCUUUUACCCGGGAUGAUAAUGACAGUACCGGGAGAAUAAGCUCCGGCUAACUCCGUG
rnacentral:rRNA from 1 species